UACGAAGGGGGCGAGCGUUGUUCGGAUUUACUGGGCGUAAAGGGCGCGUAGGCGGCCUUGUCAGUCAGGCGUGAAAGCCCCCGGCUCAACCGGGGAAUUGCGCCCUAAACUGGCGAGCUGGAGUGAGAUAGGGGUGUGUGGAACUUCCGGUGGAGCGGUGAAAUGUGUUGAUAUCGGAAGGAACGCCGGUGGCGAAAGCGACACACUGGAUCUUGUCUGACGCUGAGGCACGAAAGCCAGGGGAGCGAACGGG
rnacentral:rRNA from 1 species